rnacentral:rRNA from 1 species
UGGGGAGUAUUGGACAAUGGGCGAAAGCCUGAUCCAGCCAUGCCGCGUGAGUGAUGAAGGCCCUAGGGUUGUAAAGCUCUUUCAACGGUGAAGAUAAUGACGGUAACCGUAGAAGAAGCCCCGGCUAACUCUGUGCCAGCAGCCGCGGUAAUACAGAGGGUGCAAACGUUGCUCGGAAUGACUGGGCGUAAAGCGCGCGCAGGUGGCCCGUUAAGUCGGCUGUGAAAUCCCCUGGCUCAACCAGGGAAGUGCAGUCGAUACUGGCGGGCUCGAGUCCCGGAGAGGGUGGUAGAAUUCCCAGUGUAGAGGUGAAAUUCGUAGAUAUUGGGAGGAAUACCGGUGGCGAAGGCGACCGCCUGGACGGGUACUGACACUGAGGCGCGAAAGCGUGGGGAGCAAACAGGAUUAGAUACCCCGGUAGUCC